rnacentral:tRNA from 1 species
GUUUUUAUAAUUUAAUUAAAAAUAUUGGUCUUGUAAAUCAAAAAUAAGCUCAAAGCUUUAAAAACU